ACGUUAGCUGCAGAAGAAGCACCGGCUAACUCCGUGCCAGCAGCCGCGGUAAUACGGAGGGUGCGAGCGUUAAUCGGAAUUACUGGGCGUAAAGCGCAUGCAGGUGGUUUGUUAAGUCAGAUGUGAAAGCCCGGGGCUCAACCUCGGAAUUGCAUUUGAAACUGGCAAACUAGAGUACUGUAGAGGGGGUAGAAUUUCAGGUGUAGCGGUGAAAUGCGUAGAGAUCUGAAGGAAUACCGGUGGCGAAGGCGGCCCCCCUGGACAGAUACUGACACUCAGAUGCGAAAGCGUGGGGAGCAAACAGGAUUAGAUACCCUGGUAG
rnacentral:rRNA from 1 species